rnacentral:rRNA from 1 species
UGUCCCCUAAAUAGGGACSGGAAUGAACGGCUAAAUGAGGACAAAACUGUCUCUUACGGACUAGCCAAUGAAAUUGAUCCUUCAGUACAAAAGCUGGAAUUAACCCAUAAGACGAGAAGACCCUGUGGAGCUUCAAAACCAAAAUCACCUAACAUGACUUCCUGGAUUUUUAGUUGGGGCGACUUUGGAGCAAAAAAAACCCUCCAAAACAUGAAUCCAUUUAUUAAGACUAACACACCAAAAAUAAUAUUAUAGACCCAGCAGUACCUAUCUGCUAUCUGACCAAUGAACCAAGUUACCCCAGGGAUAACAGCGCCAUCCUCUUCUAGA